rnacentral:rRNA from 1 species
AUUGAACGCUGGCGGCAGGCCUAACACAUGCAAGUCGAACGAGUGGCGGACGGGUGAGUAAUGUCUGGGAAACUGCCCGAUGGAGGGGGAUAACUACUGGAAACGGUAGCUAAUACCGCAUACCAUCGGAUGUGCCCAGAUGGGAUUAGCUUGUAGGUGAGGUAACGGCUCACCUAGGCGACGAUCCCUAGCUGGUCUGAGAGGAUGACCAGCCACACUGGAACUGAGACACGGUCCAGACGCCGACGGGAGGCAGCAGGAGGGAAUAUUGCACAAUGGGCGCAAGCCUGAUGCGGCCAUGCCGCGUGAAUGAAGAAGGCCGUCGGGUUGUAAAGUACUUUCAGCGGGGAGGCGUUACCCGCAGAAGAAGCACCGGCUAACUCCGUGCCAGCAGCCGCGGUAAUUC